UUUAGCAUCCUUUUGUUGUUUAAUGUCCUCCAGAUCCAUUUUUUGUACUUUUUUUCCUGUGGGAUACUAUGAAAUUGAGUUGUAUUUAUAAUCCUGGAGGCCAUGAGAGUUGGUGGGUUGAGUUUUGAAGAUAAUUAGCAUCCUUCUAUAAAGUAACUGCUUCGUAUGAGAUCAUUCCAGGACUCUCAAGCAGGAAAUGUCCAGAGUUUUCAGAAGAGAGGAAAGGUUUUUUUGCUGGUAAGUGAGACUCAGUGGGAUUUGUGUGUUCAAGGUAUUUGAAUACUGUAUUAAUCGUGCCUUUUUGUGUUUUUGAAGUUUUUGUAUUUUCAAUGUUGUGUAUUUUGAUGUUUGACAUCUGGGACCUUGUUCAUCCUAGAGUGUCUGCCCAUCCCAGGGCUGGACAAUUCCUAGACAGAGUAAAAGACUCAUCUGCAAGUGCACUUUUCAUAUGCAACCCAACCAAUGCAAAGCGACUAUCCACCAAAUACCUCCUUUAUUGUGCUCUCUCUCCCCUAAUCACCAGAGCCAAGUGCCAGGCAACUGGCAGCAAUCUCUAUCCUCCAGUGCCUGCUGAAUUAUCCACACUAGCCAAUCCUCAGCCUGUGGAGCCUGCCUCACCCAUUCCUUCCUGCAAAGCCCACAGUAAAGACUCUGCCUACAUGCUCUUCCCUGCUCCUUCUGCCUCUGGUGCUUCCCCAUGUGGUUCUGCAUGCUCCUCCUCCCAGAAACUGCCUGAUUGAAAAAAUUCUGCUCAACGAUGAUUGCAUGAAGAAUGGACAGUCCACCCUCUCAUCCAGAUGGCCCGAAAGGUGCCCUUGGUGUCCAUCAGACUGUCAGACUGCUGUUUACUGGGGCAGCUCCCAGGGUCUCUGCUCUUCUUUUGAGUCUGCACCACCGACAUCCUUUUAAGCUUCAAUUGGAGCUCCUGAUGCUUGCGAGCAAAGGUUGCCAUUAUGAAGAAAUUGCUGUGCUCAUCAACUUACUUUGAACCAAGCUGUUCUUUACUGAAUGCCCUGAAGUCAUUGGAAAGUCACAUGACCUUGCUUUAAAGUGAAGAAUUAUAAUUGUUUCUCUGAAGAUGAGGGAGCUGCACGAAAGAUGUCAGCCGUGUGUAUGCUAUUGAGAACUGGACGGGAGUGAAAGAGAGUGAUGAAGACAACAGUCUAUAUAGCAUCUCAUCUCCUAUUACCUAUUAGCUCAGCGCUUCAUGUGCAUUACCUCACUGAAUUCUCGCAACAGCCCAAAAAGGUAGGAACUCUUACUAUUCCCAUGUUACAGAUGAGGAAAUCGGAAAAGGCACAGGCACAGGGGAUACCUCUUGCCAAGGUCACACAGGCAGUUCAAGUAGGGGAGCCUGGAGGGAGACUGGGUCAUCUGACUUCAGAGCCUGCACCCCUAACCACUGCCCCUCGUUGCCUCCCUUUGGUUACAGAGGACCUGUUCUUUUAAGAUCUUACAGACGAUCUGGACUGGGUUGAAUAGUAUCGUCCCAAAAUUCCCGUCCACCCAGAACCUCAGAAUGUGACCUCAUUUGGAAAUAGAGUCUUUGCAGAUAUAAUUAGUUAAAUUAAGAUGAGGUCAUGGUGGAUUGAAAUAGACCCUAAUCCAGUGACCAAGCAGAAGUAAUUCCUCCGACUGCCCCAGAACCCAUCGGGGCAGGCAGCUGGGGGUGUGGGGGCGGCCCUGGAAUAGGGGCUGUGUGGUACGUGAGGACCUGGCUGCAGUGGUUGUCGGGCUGCAGUGGUUGUGGGGCUGAUGGGAAACUACUAAAGUUUGGGGAAAGCAAGUAGAAUUUCCUAAGAACAUAAUGGGUGGAGAGGGGAAAACCUGUGGUGGCUGUGAAGGUCCUGAUGCCGUGUAUGUCUAAUUAAUAUCGUCUGAUGGCCAUGAAUUUACUGUAAAAAUAGAACAUGCAUUAACUUCAAGCAUGAUAAAAGCCAUGUUAAGCUUAAAAAGCUUAAAAGCUUUUUAAAACAGCUCCCAGGCCAGGCGUGGUGGCUCACACCUGUAAUCUCAGCACUUUGGGAGGCCAAGGUGGGUGGAUCACCUGAGGUCAGGAGUUCAAGACCAGCCUGGCCAACAUGGUGAAACCCUGUCUCUACUAAAAAUAAAAAUAAAAAAAAUUUAGCCAGGCAUGUUGGUGUGUGCUUGUAAUCCCAGAUACUAGGGGGACUGAGGCAGGAGGAUCACUUGAACCUGGGAGGCGGAGGUUGCAAUGAGCCGAGAUCAUGCCAUUGCACUCCAGCCUGGGCAACAGAGCAAAACUCCGUCUCAAAAAAAAAAAAAAAAAAAAAAGCUCCCAGCAUGUGGCAGAGAUUUGAUAUUCAUUGACCAAUAAAUUGGCUGGACAUGGAACAAGGCUACAGAAAUUAUCAGGCUCGAGAAGAUGGAUCCAUAGUAGAUGUUAAUGCACCGCCUUUGCUGUAGCUGCAUGAUGUCAUGGUUUUGUGUUAGACCUGGUAGGUGCUGCAUAGUCCUUCAGAAGAUUUGCAAAGCGAUAGCAGGAGAUGACCCCUUUGAGGGUCACACACUGGCGUCAACACUGCCUAACAUCUCCACCUUGACAGCCGGGUAGCUCUCCUGAAGGGGUUCGUUACAAUGGCCAUUCACUCUGGAAAACUGGUACUGAAGACAGACAGUAAACUCUCUCUCUCUCUCCCUUUCUCUCCCACACGUACUUUAACGUCUGGGUUGUAUGGGAGCCAUGAUUUGAGCCUGGUCAGGGACCACCUGCAUCUGAUUGACCCGAGGGACUUCUUAGCAAUGCAGUUCCCACCCGCGGAUCCCACCCCGUGACUACCGAGUCAGCACGCCUGGAAACUGACUUUGAGAGCAAGCGCCCUAGGGGAUUCUCCUGCCCACUGAGGAUGGAGGGCCCUGGAGAGGCACAUCCACAAGGACUCCCAGAGACCCACGUGCCAGGAGCUGCAGGCCCAGGGCAGCAGCAGGGCGACCCGCAGCAGGAGGGCUGCCCUUCAUCCCUCCAUCCUUUCUUCAGCCCUGGUCCUCCCAUCAGCCACAGAGAGGCUUCUGGUGUGGAAGGGGGGCUGGGCGGGGCUUCACUCUCCACGCCUGCUAUCUCCCAGCCCAGCCUGACUGCCCAGGUCACAAUAGGGAAGGGGUGGAGCCGCCACAGUCCAGACAAAGCCGGGAUCACCCUGAACCCUGUGGGGUGUGGAGGUCAGGAUGGAGCUGGGGCAGAGAGGCUCGGAGUGGGAGGACUCCCCAGCCAGCUGUGCUCCUAUAAGAGGCAGCGUCUCAGCUUCAUGAAUGUGUCAGGACAAAAUAGCUGGAAGCGCGCUCUAGAAAUAGCCUUGGGGAAUGAGAAGGACUCAGGCUGCUGUUCCAAACCGCUCAAGUGAAACAGCAGAGAGGGCACUGGCUGUGGGGCCUUAGCGGAGUCUCUUAGCUUUGUGCCUCUGAUGACUGCCCUGUAAAAUGUGGACGAUGAUAGUGCAGCACUAUAUGGUUGAGAGGAGUAACGAGCUAAUGGGUGUAUCUGAGCACAGGAUGUGGCAAAUACCAAGCCCACGAUUUUAGUUCUCCCAUGUCAUCUCUACUAAUGUCUUCCUGCAAAGGAAGGCACCUUGGCCAGCAGUUUCUAUGAACAAGACACGUCCAAAAUACAGAUCCAUGCCUGGAUCAGCUGCAGGGUAGCUUUUGGUGGUGCCAUUCUUUCAUUUCUUUGUUCGUGAGGUCAUCCGGAGCUCUUUGGAGCACUUUCUACUUGCUGGGCUUGGAGGACAAUGCAAAGAUGACCAAUAGAUGUUCUCUCUCUUUGAAGCUCAUAAUCAUCUGGAGAGACACACUGGCAGAGAGACUACCUUAAUACAAUGGGGUAAGGGUAUCAUUGGAAGCCAGGGGAGGGGCACGGGUGUGUGGUGGGUGGGAGAAGAGGCGAGGGGGAAAAUUGUCUAGAGGAAAUAAAGAUUGUCUGGGCUAAGCCAAUUCCCAAAGGGAAAGCCCUGGGGGGAGGGCAGGAAUGCAUUUGUUACAGUUUAAGUGAUGGUCCCCCAAAUUCCUAUGUUGAUGUUCUAACCCCCAGACCUCAGGAUGUGACUUUAUUUGGAAGUGGGUCCUUGCAGAUGUAAUUGAUUAAGAGGAGGCCAUGCUAGAGUAGGACAGGCCCCCAAUCCAAUAUGACUGGUGAUCUUAUAGAAAGGGGCCAUUUGGACACACCCACACAGGGAAAGCCCCAUGUGAAGACUGGAGUUGUGCUGCCACAAGCCAAGAAUGUACCAGAAGCCAGGAGGGAGAAGUGGAACAGAUCCUUCCUAGCACCUUCAGAGGGAGCCUGGUCCUGCUAACAUUGGGAUUUUGGACUUCUGGCCUCCAGAGCUCCUGACAAUAUUUCUGUUGUUCUAAGCCACACAGUUUGUGGAACUUUGUUACAGCAACCCUGAAACUCAAGCAGCAUUCUAUCUGGGCAAAGGUACAGAGGUGUACGGGAACUGCGGGAACUUCUGAGUUAAAUCAGAAUUGUUGUUUUGGUAGUUCAAAAAUAGGAGAAUAUUGACAAAUGUGCAUGGUUCAAGUUAAGCUAUCAAGUUGGAAUAAUGUACCAGGUUGAGUGGUAGAUGGGGGGGGGGGGGUCAGUUUACUGAAUAAAGCUCAAAUCCGAAUAAACCAUCUUCCCUGCUAUGCGGCCAGUGAAUCGUUCUGAUAAGAAAUCACCGUGGAUGUGACAGGUGUAUGAAGAAUGGCUAGUAUUACUAAUUAAUGGCAAGGAGCUCUGGUUGUGAACAUUUUCCGAAAUUCCAUACAUAAGGGAAGUUUGCAAACAUUUUCCAAAAUUCUAUCCAUAUUCUAUUUUAGGGAAAAUGACUAUGGGACUUUCUUUCCCCAGCUGUUUUGAGGCUUUAAAAUUUAUCUUAGAACCUCUUGGAACUAUCCCAUCGGAAUAACUGGAAGACAGAUAAAAUAUUAGGCAGUUCAUUCAUUUUAUUGGACGUAGAGUUUUGUCAGAACCAGCAUUUACUGUACUUCUCAUAGCUGUAAGCAAAGCAUUAGAAUUCAGCAACCUAAUGCUUUUCUUUUCUCUGCCAAGCGGGGUCCUGAAAUGGGAGAGAAAGCCUCCUUGCCUCUGUUCUUUGGAAACAGCAUGUAUUUGGGGUCAGUAGAGCAAAACAUCUCAUUGCUGCUCUAAGUGUUUGCAAACUUUUGGGCACUGGAGGGGACAUGCAUAUGAGAUGGAACAGGGCAUAGAUAAAAGAAUUCCUGCAUUACCCACCAUCCUGCCCAAAGAAACCACACAACUUCCACGGCAGUCCCAGACUUCAGAAAGGGAGAACACAGCAAGCACCUGCAUUAUCUUCAUUUAGACCCCAAAUCAUCCAAAACUUGCCUAGCACAGCAGUAGAUGAGUUCACAUUUUAAUCAAAACAAGAUUGCAUGGAAACAUACAUCCACAUGAAAACCAGUACCCAGUGUUUAUGGUUGCUUUCUUCUUAAUUGCAAAAAACUGAUAACAACCUAAAUGUCCAUCGUCAGAGGAAGCGAUGAACAAACUGUGGUGCAUUCACACAACAGUGGUGCUACACAGCAGCGAAGAGGAACAGCCGACUGACACGUAUAACAACUCGGAUCUCAGGAGCAUCGCACGUAGUUGGAGAAGCCAGACACGAGCCACUGCACACUGUAUGAUUCCAUGGCAUUCUGGGAAAGGCAAAACUCCAAGCACAGAGAACGCAUGACUUGUUGCCCAGGUUUGCGGUUCCAGGAAGAGGAUGGAUUACUAAGAAGCACAGGGGAAUGUUUUGGGGUGAUGAAAAUGUUCUAUGUCUUUUUUUUUUUUUUUUUUUUGUGAAAUGGAGUUUCACUCUUGUCGCCCAGGCUGGAGAGCAAUGGCAUGAUCUUGGCUCACUGCAACUUCCACCUCCCAGAUUCAAGCAAUUCUCCAGCCUCAGCCUCUUAAAUAACUGAGAUUACAGGCACAUGACUCCCCGCCCAGCUAAUUUUUGUAUUUUUAGUAGAGACAGGUUUUCACCAUGUUGGUCAGGCUGGUCUCAGGUGAUCCGCCCACCUCAGCCUCCCAAAGUGCUGAGAUUACAGGCAUGAGGCACCACAUUCGGCCAAAGUUCUAUGUCUGGUCACAGCCAUUUACAUUCAUCAGAAUUCACAGAACCAUCCAUCUUGAAGUGGUGAAUUUGCUGAAUAGAAAUUAUACCUCAAAGACCCGACGUUCAAAAAUGCCUUUGUGUUUUGUAAGCUUCAACCCUCGCCCAGUGGGAACCACAAAGGCAUUGCCCAAUUUGUUGAAAGCAUUGCUGUUGUAACUUCAACAUGUGGGGAGAAGUUAUGUUUUCAUACUGUCUUUGUCUGCUCUGCCCACCGUUACAAAACACCAUAGACUGGGUGGAUUGAUCAACACACAUUUAUUUCCCACAGUGGAGGCUGGAAGUCCCCAAGACCCAGGUUCCUGGGGAGGGCUUUCUUCCUAGCCUGCAGGUGACCAGCAUCUGCUGUGUCCUCUUGUGACUCUUCCUCAGUUCCUGUGUCAGAGGGGUCAGGGAGACAAGCGGGCAUCCAUCUUAUAAGUGUCCUCAUAAGGCCACCAUCCUGUCGACCAGGGCACCACCCUAUACCUCAGUUAACAUUAAUGACUUCCUUGGUGGCCCCCUGUCCCGUUGCAGCCAGGGUUAGCGCUUCAGCGUGCAAAGUGAAAGGCCACACAAAUCUUUGUUCAUAACAAAUGCCCAGUGGACAGGACACUCGGGUGCCCUGAGGCUGCAGGAGCUGAGGGUGAUCUUGCUCGGGUACUUCUGGUGGUAACUGCUGUAUGGGAAAUAGUCUGUUCCUCCUGGCUGGUGUCAGAAGUAACCAGGCUGAAGCCAUGCUCUGAAAGAACCUGUGCAGGGAGAGAAAGACCUGUUUGAGACCGACCUGAAAGCUCUCCCAGGGGAAAGAGCAGCUGUGCCCUAAUUCUUCCCUGUACGGGGACAGUUGGAUCUUUGCAGGCAAUGCAACAGAGGUGCAACUCCAGAUGUAGCGAUACCACUUUGGACAGGGGUGCCAGGUGUGGGCCCCAGACUUU